rnacentral:rRNA from 1 species
UACGUAGGUGGCGAGCGUUGUCCGGAUUUAUUGGGCGUAAAGCGCGCGCAGGCGGUGCGCUAAGUCUGCGGUGAAAUCUCCCUGGCUCAACCGGGAGGGGGCCGUGGAGACUGGCGCACUGGAGGGACCUAGAGGCCGGUGGAAUUCCUGGUGUAGCGGUGAAAUGCGCAGAUAUCAGGAAGAACACCCGUGGCUAAGGCGGCUCUCUAGUACGGUACUGACGCUGAGACGCGAAAGCGUGGGGAGCAAACAGG